CCUACGGGCGGCAGCAGUGAGGAAUAUUGGUCAAUGGGCGCGAGCCUGAACCAGCCAAGUAGCGUGAAGGAUGACUGCCCUACGGGUUGUAAACUUCUUUUAUAAAGGAAUAAAGUGAGGCACGUGUGCCUUUUUGUAUGUACUUUAUGAAUAAGGAUCGGCUAACUCCGUGCCAGCAGCCGCGGUAAUACGGAGGAUCCGAGCGUUAUCCGGUUUUGUUGGGUUUAGGGGUGCGUAGGCGGAAUGCAAAGUCAGCGGUAAAAUCGCGGGGCUAAACCUCGCUCCGCCGUGGAAACUGGCGUUCUUGAGUGGGUGAGAAGUAUGCGGAAUGCGUGGUGUAGCGGUGAAAUGCAUAGAGAUCACGAAGAACUCCGAUUGCGAAGGCAGCAUACCGGCGUCCAACUGACGCUGAAGCACGAAAGCGUGGGUAUCGAACAGGAUUAGAUACCCCAGUAGUC
rnacentral:rRNA from 1 species